UCCCUGGUAGCUCAGUCAGUAAAGAAUCUGCCUGCCAUGCAGGAGACCUGGGUUCGAUCCCUGGGCUGGGAA
rnacentral:tRNA from 1 species